rnacentral:rRNA from 1 species
GACGAACGCUGGCGGCGUGCCUAAUACAUGCAAGUUGAGCGCUGAAGGUUGGUACUUGUACCAACUGGAUGAGCAGCGAACGGGUGAGUAACGCGUGGGGAAUCUGCCUUUGAGCGGGGGACAACAUUUGGAAACGAAUGCUAAUACCGCAUAAAAACUUUAAACACAAGUUUUAAGUUUGAAAGAUGCAAUUGCAUCACUCAAAGAUGAUCCCGCGUUGUAUUAGCUAGUUGGUGAGGUAAAGGCUCACCAAGGCGAUGAUACAUAGCCGACCUGAGAGGGUGAUCGGCGACGUUGGGACUGAGACACGGCCCAAACUCCUACGGAGGGCAGCAGUAGGGAGUCUUCGGCAAUAGACGAAAGUCUGACCGAGCAACGCCGCGUGAGUGAAGAAGGUUUUCGGAUCGUAAAACUCUGUUGGUAGAGAAGAACGUUGGUGAGAGUGGAAAGCUCAUCAAGUGACGGUAACUACCCAGAAAGGGACGGCUAACUACGUG